CGGGUGAGUAACACGUAUCCAACCUGCCGUCUACUCUUGGCCAGCCUUCUGAAAGGAAGAUUAAUCCAGGAUGGGAUCAUGAGUUCACAUGUCCGCAUGAUUAAAGGUAUUUUCCGGUAGACGAUGGGGAUGCGUUCCAUUAGAUAGUAGGCGGGGUAACGGCCCACCUAGUCAGCGAUGGAUAGGGGUUCUGAGAGGAAGGUCCCCCACAUUGGAACUGAGACACGGUCCAA
rnacentral:rRNA from 1 species